rnacentral:rRNA from 1 species
UACGUAGGGUGCAAGCGUUAUUCGGAAUUACUGGGCGUAAAGCGCGCGUAGGCGGUGAUGUAAGUCAGUUGUGAAAUCCCCGGGCUCAACCUGGGAACUGCAUCUGUGACUGCAUCGCUGGAGUGCGGCAGGGGGGGAUGGAAUUCCGCGUGUAGCAGUGAAAUGCGUAGAUAUGAGGAGGAACACCGAUGGCGAAGGCAGUCCCCUGGACCUGCACUGACGCUCAUGCACGAAAGCGUGGGGAGCAAACAGG